CAAAGCUCAAUUUGAAACCCUCGGGAUUGUGAUUUGAAGAUUUGGCUUUGGAAAAGGCUCACCCGGUUGCUUGGAAUACUACGUUCCAUGGGGUGACAACCCCAUCUGGCUAACCAUCUCUCCAUGAAUAGCCUUAUCAUACAGUCUAGUUGUUUGGGAAUGAAUCUAGUAGUGGGUGGUAAACUCCCUCUGUGGCUGAAUACUGCUGACAGACCGAUAGCGAACAAGUACUGUGAAGGAAAGGUGAAUACAACUUUGAAAAGAUAAUGAAAUAUUAGGUGAAAUUGUUGAUAGGGAAGGAAAUUUGGUGGAGAGGGAAGGGCAUUAGAUCAGACUUGGUGUUUGACGAUUAUCUUCUCUUCUUGACUUGUGCACUCGUAUUUCACUGGGCCAUCAUCAAUGCGGAUGGCGAGAU
rnacentral:rRNA from 1 species